UGGGGUUUACGAAGAAGCUUGAUUUGCUAGGCUGAAACUUUGCCACACUGAUGGCUUCUCUGUAGAGUUUAUUGUUUCCUCGGGGCUCGAUGUGAGGUCCAAUCUGGGAAAGCAAACCAGAAGGACAGAUCAAGUGGCAAGGGAUGUUGGCUGCAGCUUCGAUAUGAAAUCAGCUUCUGGAAUGUUUCUUAGAGCUCUGGUCUAAUGUUUCAUACCCCCAAAGAGCCAUAAUCAUCCUCCAAUCAGAACUCCCUGAAAGUCUUACAACGCAAUCCUACAGACCUGUACCUAAGCAUGACCCCACUAAGCUCAAUCAGACUUACUCACAGAUAUCCUCUCCAGGACUCUGGGACAUUCCAGAAAGAGGUGUAUUUUAUCUGAGAUGAUGUGACGUUUGAAUUGCACACAGGUGGACUCCAUUCAACUAAUUGUGUGACUUCUGAAGGCAGCUCGUUGCACCAGAGCUUAUUUAGGGGUGUCACAG